rnacentral:rRNA from 1 species
AGUCAAUAGAUACCCAGGUAGUCCACGCCGUAAACGAUGAGUACUAGGUGUAGGAGGUAUCGACUCCUUCUGUGCCGCAGUUAACACAAUAAGUACUCCGCCUGGGAAGUACGGUCGCAAGAUUAAAACUCAAAGGAAUUGACGGGGGCCCGGCCACAAGACAGCGGAGGCAUGUGGUUUAAGUUUACGUAAGCAACGCGAAGAACCUUACCCUUACGACUUGUACAUCUCCUGAAUAAGUGUAGAGAUACAUGAAGCCCUUCGGGGUCGAGAAGACAGGUGGUGCAUGGUUGUCGUCAGCUCGUGUCGUGAGAUGUUGGG